CCUACGGGAGGCAGCAGUGAGGAAUAUUGGUCAAUGGACGCAAGCCUGAACCAGCCAAGCCGCGUGCAGGAAGACGGCCCUAUGAGUUGUAAACUUCUUUUAUACAGGGAUAAACUGAGACACGUGUGUCUUUCUGUAAGUACCUUAUGAAUAAGGAUCGGCUAACUCCGUGCCAGCAGCCGCGGUAAUACGGAGGAUCAGAGCGUUAUCCGGAUUUAUUGGGUUUAAAGGGUGCGUAGGUGGGAUGUUAAGUUAGAGGUGAAAGCUUGCGGCUCAACUUGAGAAUUGCCUUUGAUACUGUUAGGCUUGAGAGUAGUUGCGGUAGGCGGAAUGUGUGGUGUAGCGGUGAAAUGCAUAGAUAUCACACAGAACACCGAUUGCGAAGGCAGCUUACCAAGCUACCACUGACGUUGAUGCACGAAAGCGUGGGGAUCAAACAGGAUUAGAUACCCUUGUAGUC
rnacentral:rRNA from 1 species